rnacentral:rRNA from 1 species
CCCUUAGACGUUCUGGGCCGCACGCGCGCUACACUGACACAGGCAACGAGCUUCCUUUACCGAAAGGUAUGGGUAAUCUUUUGAAACUGUGUCGUGCUGGGGAUAGAUCCUUGCAAUUUUUGAUCUUAAACGAGGAAUUCCUAGUAAGCGCGAGUCAUCAACUCGCGUUGAUUACGUCCCUGCCCUUUGUACACACCGCCCGUCGCUACUACCGAUUGAAUGGCUUAGUGAGGCCUCAGGAUCCGCGCUUAAUGUGUGGAGAAUUUGGACAAACUACGUCAUUUAGAGGAAGUAAAAGUCGUAACA